GAUGAAGAACGUAGCGAAAUGCGAUAAGUAGAGUGAAUUGCAGAAUUCAGUGAAUCAUCGAAUCUUUGAACGCACAUUGCGCCCCUUGGUAUUCCAUGGGGCAUGCCUGUUCGAGCGUCAUCUACACCCUCAAGCUCUGCUUGGUGUUGGGCGUCUGUCCCGCCCCCGCGCGUGGACUCGCCCCAAAUCCAUUGGCAGCGUUCCUUGCCCCCUCUCGCGCAGCACAUUGCGCUUCUCGAGGGCGGCUCCGGGACGCGAUCCAGCAAGAUGACCACCGUCUUUGACCUCGGAUCAGGUAGGGAUACCCGCUGAACUUAAGCAUAUCAAUAAGCGGAGGA
rnacentral:misc_RNA from 1 species